AUUGAACGCUGGCGGCAGGCCUAACACAUGCAAGUCGAGCGGUAGAGAGAAGCUUGCUUCUCUUGAGAGCGGCGGACGGGUGAGUAAUGCCUAGGAAUCUGCCUAGUGGUGGGGGAUAACGUUCGGAAACGGACGCUAAUACCGCAUACGUCCUACGGGAGAAAGCGGGGGAUCUUCGGACCUCGCGCCAUUAGAUGAGCCUAGGUCGGAUUAGCUAGUUGGUGAGGUAAUGGCUCACCAAGGCGACGAUCCGUAACUGGUCUGAGAGGAUGAUCAGUCACACUGGAACUGAGACACGGUCCAGACUCCUACGGGAGGCAGCAGUGGGGAAUAUUGGACAAUGGGCGAAAGCCUGAUCCAGCCAUGCCGCGUGUGUGAAGAAGGUCUUCGGAUUGUAAAGCACUUUAAGUUGGGAGGAAGGGCAGUAACCUAAUACGUUAUGUUUUGACGUUACCGACAGAAU
rnacentral:rRNA from 1 species